GCCCGCCUAGCUCAAUCGGAUAGAGCGUCAGACUCUUAAUCGUCCAAGCAAUCUGAAGGCUGCGAGUUCGACCCUCGCGGUGGGCU